CACAUCUCAGCACGGGCAUAUAAUUUGUGUGGCCCUGUGCUAGGAACCUGGAGUAGAGCGUGUGCUCCGAGAUCUUCGCGUCUUCCGGAUCUUUGAGGGGACAAAUGACAUUCUUCGGCUGUUUGUGGCUCUGCAGGGCUGUAUGGUAAGAGAGAGAAUUGGGUGGGGGUAGAGGUGGGGAGGACAGUGAGUCCUGACUGCUGGACCCUCUUCCCCCAUAGGACAAAGGAAAGGAGCUCUCUGGGCUUGGCAGUGCUCUAAAGAAUCCCUUUGGGAAUGCUGGCCUCCUGCUAGGAGAGGCAGGCAAACAGCUGAGGCGGUAGGCUUAGGGCCAGAGCCAGGGGAGGGCAGGGUGGUGUAUGGCAACUAACCAGUCAUUCUCCCUCUUCCUCUCAGGCGGGCAGGGCUGGGCAGCGGCCUGAGUCUCAGUGGACUUGUCCACCCAGAGUUGAGUCGGAGCGGCGAGCUGGCAGUACAGGCUCUGGAGCAGUUUGCCACUGUGGUGG
rnacentral:sRNA from 1 species